rnacentral:rRNA from 1 species
ACACUCCUGCGGGAAGCAGCAGUGGGGAAUAUUGCACAAUGGGCGCAAGCCUGAUGCAGCCAUGCCGCGUGUAUGAAGAAGGCCUUCGGGUUGUAAAGUACUUUCAGCGGGGAGGAAGGCGAUAAGGUUAAUAACCUUGUCGAUUGACGUUACCCGCAGAAGAAGCACCGGCUAACUCCGUGCCAGCAGCCGCGGUAAUACGGAGGGUGCAAGCGUUAAUCGGAAUUACUGGGCGUAAAGCGCACGCAGGCGGUCUGUCAAGUCGGAUGUGAAAUCCCCGGGCUCAACCUGGGAACUGCAUUCGAAACUGGCAGGCUAGAGUCUUGUAGAGGGGGGUAGAAUUCCAGGUGUAGCGGUGAAAUGCGUAGAGAUCUGGAGGAAUACCGGUGGCGAAGGCGGCCCCCUGGACAAAGACUGACGCUCAGGUGCGAAAGCGUGGGGAGCAAACAGGAUUAGAUACCCUAGUAGUCC